GAUGAACGCUGGCGGCGUGCUUAACACAUGCAAGUCGAACGGGAUCCAAGGGGUGCUUGCACUUUUUGGUGAGAGUGGCGAACGGGUGAGUAACACGUGAGUAACCUGUCCUUUUCUUUGGGAUAAGCAUUCGAAAGGGUGUUUAAUACCUUAUGUUCUGUCUGCCUCGCAUGGGGUGGGUGGGAAAGGCUUUGGCCGGAUUUGGGUGGGCUCGCGGUCUAUCAGCUUGUUGGUGGGGUGAUGGCUUACCAAGGCUUUGACGGGUAGCCGGCCUGAGAGGGUGGUCGGUCACAUUGGGACUGAGAUACGGCCCAGACUCCUGCGGGAGGCAGCAGUGGGGGAUAUUGCACAAUGGGCGAAAGCCUGAUGCAGCGACGCCGCGUGGGGGAUGAGGGCCUUCGGGUUGUAAACUUCUUUUGCUCUGAACAAGGCAUGCCAGUGGGUGUGUUGAGUGUAGGGGUUGAUUAGCGCCGGCUAACUACGU
rnacentral:rRNA from 1 species